rnacentral:lncRNA from 1 species
UGCCAUAAAACAAGGGUUAAUUUAACAAAUUAGCAUAUCACAUAAUAUCCCUAUAUUAUGAUCGACCAACAAAUAAGCUUAGGUAGGACACACUAGCGAAGGAUUUACUCGUCUCUCCCCUUCUAGUUCUAUUCCCCGAUCUCCGCCAGAGAUCAUAUCCCUAAGCUCUGAUACCAACUGUGACGCCCCCAAAAUAGGUCCAAUCCACAACCCAUUCUAAGUCGCCAAAUACAUGGUACAGAAACAACUACAACUUCAUUAAUACAAUUGUCGUGCAAAAUACGACAAUUCAUAUACUGUGAGUUUAAAUACAAAUAUUUCCUUCUAGACAAUAUCCACACUCAAAUAAGUCC